AUUUUUUUUUCCUAAUAAUGUCUUAAUGUGGAAUGCUUUGUAAACCAGACUACCUAAUCCCAAGUACUAGUAGUUCUACUUCUUUAAGUCGGGUAGAAGGGGUGAGGAGAAGAGAGAGAGAAAGAAUGAAGUUCUUGUUCCAAUGUCCAUGCUGUUCUUGUUUCUGUUUCAUGAAGCCCCAAAAGGGCAAACCAAAAGCAAAAGUGGAAGAAGCAAAACCAAAAGCCAAAGUGGAAGAAGCAAAACCUAAAGAUAAGAAGGUGGAAGAAGCAAAACCAAAAGAGAAAGAAGAAAGCACGCCAGAAUGAAAGCAUAGAGGACAUGGGAUGAUGAUGCAGUUAUACUGUUCUGAUGCAAGUAAUAUUGUUCUUCAUUUACUUAAUUUACUUCUAGUCAUAAUUUAUGGUGUGCAGUCUUUUAACUCUUUUGAAAAAAGCACCUCCUAAAUAUUGUAAUCGUAUGACAAAAUAUUUGCACUUUAUUCUCUCUGAAAUGCAAACCUAGUCUUCAUUAUUAUGUAUGUUUAGAUCCUUUGUCGCACUCAUGUUGGAUUCUCAAAAAAUACAUACUUUUUAAAAGAUACAAUGUAGAAAUUUUGAAGUAUAUGAGAAACAUAACUUGUUAAUAGUUAGAUUUCUCUUAACUAAAUUCCUCAAAUGAUUAUCAAAUUUAGAGUUUUUUUUCCCUUUAAAGGUCAAACAAAAAAUUAUUUUUUGUUAGUGUAAAGUCACUCGAAAUGAAGAUAGAAUCUCAAAAAAUAACUAUAGAUAGAAAAAACACAUAAGCAACUUUUUUAUACUAUACGAAUCCAAGCGAUAAAAGGCUAAAGUGAAUCCUCAACAACAAUUUCAAUUUUAAGAAAGAUGACAUGAUGAUUGACUACGGGGACAGGGCAUAUCUCAUUCAGAGUGUGUUUUAUUGAAAAUUUGGUACUUUAAAUUUCCGUUUUGUCAGUAGAUUGCAGAUACACAAUGGCAUCUGCACUAAACAUACAUCUUGAACAAGUAAUAUAUUCAAGUCUUUUAUUUUUUUAUUUUAAAUAAAGGCUGUUAAUUAAUCAAGAUCAGAAGACACAUAAUCCUGAUCACUUGAUCUAUUAAUUAAGACAAAAUUUAUUGCGACUUAGUAAGCUUCAUUUGUAUAUGAAUAUAAAAUCACUACUUGAAACUACAAAUUUGGGUAAGGGUUGAUUUGAAGUUGAAAUUAUGUUUGGAUAUAUAAUUUAACUUUCAAAAAUUACUAUUUUUUCUUAUAAAUUUGAAAAAAAAUUCUCAGAAAUUGUGAAAUCUAUGAAUUUUUUUUCAAACUCCUUUAUAAUCUUAUAAAAGAAGCAAAUGAUAAGUCAUAAAUCCAAGGUAUUGGAAUAUCCUAAGGCAACACAUUAGUAUUUAACAUAGAUUUCAUGUCCCUUUUAUAAAAAUUUGCUUGUAAAUACGUGUUGUUAUAAAUGUUGAAAUGCAUAUAACUUCAGAAAGAUCCACUAAUUCAAUAAAUUAACAAUAGUACUCUUAGGUGUCGUUUGGUUUGAAAAUGGUUAUCCCGCGAUAAUUAAUACCGGAAUUAGUUAUCCCGGGAUUACCCGGGAUAACUUAUUGUUAAAAUUGAUCUUGGGCCUAACUCACACCUCAAAAGCUAGCUCAUGAGGAGGAGAAUUGCCCAAGCCUUAUAAAGAGAUCACCCAUCUCAUUAACCACCAAUGUGAGACUUUCUUUUCAAUCUUUUUAACAACCCACCUCACGCCCAGACCUCAACUGGCCGUUGACAAUACCAUGUUAAAAUUGGGCUUGAGCCUAACUCACACCUCAAAAGUUAGCUCAUGAGGAGGAGGGCCCCCAAAUUGAGAUGUCGGGGAGAUUGUCCACGCCCAGUUGAGGUCUGGGCCCCAGUUAAGGUGUGGGCGUGAGGUGGGUUGUUAAAAAAAUUGAAAAGAAAGUCCCAAAUUGAUGGUUAAUGAGAUGGGUGAUCUCUUUAUAAGGCUUGAAUAAUCCUUUUCCUCGUGAGCUAGCUUUUGAGGUGUGAGUUAGGACCAAGACCAAUUUUAACACUUAUCCCCACCAUGUAUAUGAGAUAAGUUAUCCCGGGACUAAGGGGAAAAUGGUGGAAUAAGUUAUCCCGGGUUGGAUUAAUCCCUCCAAGCAAACAAAGGAAAAUGUGUUCUUUUAUUUUAUCCCGGGAUAAUUAGUUAUCCCAGGAUAAUUAGUUAUCCCGGGAUAACCAUUUUCAAACUAAACGAACCCUUAGUACCAACAUCGAUUGUGGUGUAGUGGUAGGACUAUUCCACCCUUAGCCAGAGAUCUCGGGUUCGAGUAUAAGUAUGGAGAAAUUUUGGUUGGGAGUGUCACCCUCAAAAUGGGCCCUAUAAUGUGCGAUCCGAAUUAGUCGGAGCUUCAAUACGAAAACCGAACACUAGGUGGAAAACAAAAAAGAAUAGUGCGUGGUCCUAGUAACAAUCUAUUCCAUAAUAUAAUCAUUCGAACAAUCAAUUCACAUCGAGUACUUGUCUAGUUUUACAAAUUUCAAAAUUACAAACUUUUUUCUCGCAAAAUUAAAAUUAUGGAUCAAGUUUUGAUUUCUACAAUAAUUAAAACCAUAAAUCUGAAAUUGAAAUCUACCCUUUAGGUUAAUUUGAUAUUUGAAAACAACAUUUCAAAUAAAAGUUGAAGUUUUUUUUGAAAUAUUAUAAAUAAAUACAAAUUUAAAAUCUAAACAUCAAAUUUAUAGUUCAAAUUGCAUUGCCAAACACCUGUUUAGUACUUGCAGUUUAUUUUAAAAUAAAGAAAAACGGGAGAAUGAUCGCAUUUCCAGUGUAAUGAAUAACUUUUUCAAGUGGCAACAAUUUUGUGGACUCUAAUAACAAACUAAUUUGAUAAAUCCAGGAUCCAUUUUAUGGUGGGUCUUCUGAAAUUAAAAAUUGAGUUCACCACUCAAGUCCAAAAGAAAAGGUCUCAAAGGACAAUGUUGGAACUAUUGCACUAGUACCUAUAUAGGGGAAAUUUUAGAAAUAACAAACUUGAGUUUAUAAUUACUUCUUCCAUAAUAAUACUUUGCUAGUUACAUUCCUUGUGGUGUUCACGGUUUGAUUAAAAAUCAAAUCGAACCGUAAAUCAAAUUAAAUUGAUUAAAAAAAUUUGAUAUUUAGUUAGGUUUGGUUUGGUUUAAUUUUUGACAUGACCUACCCUGGGACCUUGUCCUAAUGGGCGUCCCAAGUUCGAUCAGGAUCGGAGACCACCUCUGUUACCCAACCCAACCUCCAACCUCCAGCCACCUGCCCUGAGUUGGUUGAAUUCCGAGCAUGUAACAAGAUAGUGUAAAAGCUCACAUAAAAGCUCUGGGAUAAGAUCACAACCUCGUCCGAUCCAAUCGAGUCACCAUCCCAUACCAAUAAUCCAACCAUACCAAACCAUACCAAAACAAGGGCCAUAAACUAAUCCAUAAUCAAAGAUAAUGUUCCAAAACGUAAUAUAAUUAAUACCAAAAUGAAAUAUGACGGAACAGUGAGAAAUUAUGUCCGAUGAUGCAGACCUCCCAGCUUAUUCCAAUGCCAAGGUUGACACCUAUGUCCGAAAAAAGAAAUAAUAUUAGAUUCAGAAUAUUAUUGGUAUCUUAUAAACCUAAAUAAAGAAUAUACAAAUUUAUAUGACGUUUUACUAUAACAAAGAAAGUUAUAUAAUAGUUUACUCGAAGUCUUACCAGGUCUAAGCGGAGAGGUUUAUCAAGAACUAAGACAAAAAGAUAAUAGAUUAUCAUAAGUACAGAUCAAAAUAUUUUACUACAAAGACGAAAUAAAAAUAAAAUAAAUUUGGACACAAAAGAACGCUAUUUAUCUAGCUUAAUGAGAAGACCUCGUAGAACUACUAUGUCCUACAAAGAGAUUAAGGAAACAUUAAAUGACCUAUAUUUAGAUUAUAAGAGACUUAAUAAUACAAAAGAAGAUCAUAUAAGACUAGAUCAGCUAAUCACCAUAAUAUCCCGACUAUAAUAUAAAUUGAUAGGAUAUCUCAAAUCUAGGGAUAAAUGAGAAUAUACCUGUGGGGUAGAAGUAUACAACUAAAAUAUUUGUACGUAAAUCGAGAAAUAAUACUAAGAAGAAAGGCGGUAGAAUUAGAAAAAGUUUUAAGUAAUUUUUUGAGUAUACUAGAAUCAUCGAAAACACCAAAAUCAUGACUUUUAAAAGAAUAUAUAAGUGCCUUAAAGGGGGAAUUAGAAGGUAUUAGGAGUGAUAUAGAAUGAUAUAAUAAACAAAUAAGACUUCAUAGAGAACAGUGUAGAGAAAUUAUUCCUUUAGGAUAAAAGUAAGCCACAGUAAAUAAAAAAGAUAUAUGAAAACACAUCCUUUUGCUCGACUAGUACAAAGACCAUAUAAUCAAUUAUAUAAAGAAUUGAAACAACAACAACAACAACAAUAACAACCCAGUAUAUUCCCAUAAAGAAAGAAUUGAAACAAAGAAACGAAAUUUUAAAAAAUAGAACAAACCUUAAUAAAUCAAAUAGAGGUAGUAGAAACUAUAGAAUUAUCAGAAGCAAUUAUAAUUUCAGAACCUAUAAAUCUUUAGACUGCAUAGAUCAUAUAAACUUGUUAAAUUAUAAAUUAGAAGGUAUUAGAUAUUGCAUAGAAUAUAGAAAUAUUAGAAUAAAAUCCAUUAGAGAACAAUGUAUUAGCAAUACUUUUCGUUAGGGUAAGAAUAGUGUUGGAAUUGAUAACUUAAAGAAAUUAGAGUAUUUAGAUCUAAAAAUUCAGAUGGAGAAGAAAUAUAGAUGUUUUAAAGAUAAUUCACUUAUUAGGUGUAAUUUUAACAACGGUGAACAUAUAUUAUAUGGAGAAGAUCCACAACCAAAUACUAUUACAGACCUUAUAAUAAAUCUAGAAGAACUGGUUCAAAAGAAAAUACUAAAAUACUAAAGACUCUAGAAAUAUUUGAAGAUCUGCAAAACAAACAAAAGAAACUGUUAGAUAAAGUAGAAUAAAAUUUUGAUUUCCUAAAGAAUUAACAAGCAGAACUAGAAAAGAAAGUUAAAGAUUUAAUUAAUAAAGAUAAAGAGGGUAACCUAGAACAUCCUGAAAUAAAACUAGUGCUACAAGAAAUAAGAAAAGAAAUGAAUCAAAUAAAAUAAAUAACACUCUCAUGAAUAAUAUUUCUAUAAAUGAUCAACUCUACUUAGCAAUAUUACAAAAGGCAACACAAAUUCAAUCAAACCCCAAAGGAUUAUCAGAUUAUCAACCUCAAGGAAAAGCAGACUCCAUAGUCAUAAAAUUAAAUAAUAUUAUAAUAUUGUUAUUAUUAGAACUUAAUAAAAAUCUAGAAAAAUCAAAACAACAAGUUAGCCAAGAUAAAAAUAUAGAAGAGUUAAUAGAGCAAUUAAAGAAAAUAGAAUUAAUCCUUCUGAAAGAAAAAGAAAAAGCUAAAACGACUAAACCUAAAACAUGGACCUUUUUCCAACAUCCAUAAGCAAGCCAAGAUCAAGUUUUAUCAAAGACAGAUUAACAAAUAGUGUGAUAUCCAAAAUAACAAGUAGACCAAAAAUGACUUCAAGAUAACAACUAGAAGAAAUAGUAGACGUGGAUAAAGAUAUACAAUUAUUCCAACAAAAUAAAUUAAAACUUUUGAGAGCCAAAACUUCAUACAAUGAAGGAAUAUUUUCAACAGCAUAAUUAUAUAGGUGUUAUAGAGAAGAACAACUAUGUGUUAUUAGAGAAAAUAGCUAUAGUAUAAAUUUAAUAAGCACAAACUCUUUAAAAGAAAUUACAAAAUUAAACUUGAGCCUUCUGCACAUGAGACUAAUAGUAAUAGGAUUAAAAGGAUUAACUAGGAAGAACAUAGGAAUUAAAGUAUUGGUUACAAUAUACGAUAAUAGAUGGUCAGAUUCAAAAAGGUCUAUAAUAUAAAUAAUUGAAGUAGACAUGUCAUGUAAUGGAGGACUUUUUUAUUAUAGUCCAGACUAUAUGACAAAUUCUCUAGAAUUUGGAAAGUACAUAAAAAUAGGUAUUCAGACUAAAGGUUAUGAAGAGAUGAAUAAUGGAAAUAACUUACUAAUAUGUGUAGGUUUUAGUGGAAAACUUUCCACUAAUAGUGAUACAAAGUUUAAGUUAAAAAUAGAGGACGUAGUAAGCUUAAUGAGGAAUAAAGGAAUAAGACUAAUAAAGCCAUUAAAGAUAAAUUCAGAAGAAUAUGCACGACUAGCAUAGGAUCUAGAGAAAUUUAGUAAGAAAGAAAUACUAAACCCAACUGAUCAUUUUAUGUAUACGAAUAAAAAAGAAAGAACCUCAGUCAGAUUCACCGACUAUACAUAUACAAAUAAAAGAGAGAUAGAUGAGGAAGCUGAAGCAAGUGAAAAUAAUAACUAUAUGAAUAUAGAAAUAAUAGAAGAAGAUGGUUUCGAAGUAAAUAAGUCCAUAAUGAAAACAGAAUCCCUAUACGAAAUAAAUAACAAUAGAGUGUUUAAAUGUAUAGGCUGUAAAAUAAGAAAUCUAAAGCUUACCGAAGUAAAAAAACAUUUUAUCAAAUGUAAAUUAAGAACAGAUAAUUAUGGUUAUACAUUCAAAAAGAAAAGCAAAAAAGAAGAUUUAGAAAUAAUUUACAGUAUAGAUAAGAUAGAAAGUAUAACUACAAAAAAUUUACCAAGAUAUAGAGUAUUUGGAAUAAAUCCUAAAGAAUAGACAAAACAAAAUAUAAAACCCAGAGGAAGAAGAAUGCCAAUAAAAGAGCCCAUUAGAUUACAAGAGGGUGGUAAUAAGGAAAAUAUUUUAAAUCUGGCGACUCAUGACCCUCAGACGUGGAAUACUGCAAUAGACCUAUGAAAAAAUCUAGUUGUAGCAAAUUACAUACAAGCUAAUCAAGAACCAGAUAUAGAAAAUAUGUAUAGAUAUCUAGAAACAUUCAUAGGAGAAACUACUAAGCCGUUAUAGGAAGCCUACAAGACAAACUUCUCCGAAGAUUUUCAAAGAUUGGUAGAUUUAGGAUCCAAUCCAUAUAAUUUUGUAAAUAAAGUACAUACUUUACUAAUAGGAGAAGAUCCCAAUAGUGGAUUAAUAGUAUUACAGAAAAAGGCUUUAAUAAAUUUAGAGAAAUUAAGUAUAAAUAAUUGGUCAAAAAUUAAGGAAUUUCUAAAUGAGUAUUUCUAUUAUUGUAUCAUUAGUGGAAACUCCUUUGACUAGUCUCGAGAAAAAAGAUUGUUUAAUAAAUUACUUGGAACCUUAGUAAGAGAAAUAUAAAAAAAUGAUCUAAAAGAGAAGGAGUAGUACAAAACUCGAGACACUAAAUGGUCAACAAGACAGAGAAUACAACAUGUAAUGGAAGUAUUACAAGAAAAGUGUACAAAUACACAAAUACAAAAAUAAUUAAAAAGAAGUGAUACAGAUUUCUAUAAAAAUAUAUAUACUACACAACAAUAUGAUCAAGAUUAUAAGAAAAAAAGAUAUAAAAAACUAUAUAAAAGGGAUUAUUGUCCUAAGAAAAAAAAUUAUUUAAGAAAGUCAAAAGAAAAAAAUCAUUUCUAAACAAAUAGAGACAUAUAAGAAAAUAUAACACCAAUAGAACUUAUAAAAAUAAAUUAGAAUGUUUUACUCAUGGAAGUAUAGAACAUUUAGCAAAUACUUGUCCAAAAAGAAAUAAUAGUAGAUCUAGAAAUGCACAACUAAUAGACGAUGUAAAUGAAAAUCUAAUAAAUAUAGAUGAAUAUAUGUCAGACAACCAAAGCAUAUACUCCAUCAGGAGUAUGGAGGUAUUUGAAGAAAAAAAAAUACCUAUUGGAUUCCUCGGAUUCUGAAGGAGAAGAAUUUAUAGAUGAAGUAGGAUUAGAAAAUAUAAUUCCAAACUAUCAUGAUUUAGUCAACUUUAUAGAAGUCUGUGAACAUGAAUUUGUAAGAGGUAAGAGACUAGACAGUAACCAAUGUUUUAAUUUGGAUGGUUUUCAAGUAAAAAUAAAAGGGCAAAAUGCAGAAAAUGUUAUAUAGAAGGAUGCAUAACUUAUAUAGAAAAAAACUCACAAAUACAAAAACUAGAAAUUUAAAUAGACAGGAACCAAUGAAUAAAAUAACGGAUUAUAAAAUAUUAGAACUAGAAGAAAGACAAAGAAGGUUGGAAAUAAGAAUAAAUAGACUCGAGAAAAAUAAAGAAGUAAUUAAGGAAGAAGAAGUAUUAGAAAUAAAAUUAUCGAGUACAUCCGUGAAGGAAAUAGUGGAUAAUCAAAAUAAACAGAAAAAAAUCAAUGAAUAUACCAUUCGAAGGAAUGAUAAGUAAUGGAGAUAAAAAGAUUAGUACAGUCAAAGUUUUAACAAGAAUAAGGAUUCAAAAUUAUGAGUUUGAAACAUUAGCCAUAGUAAAUUCAGGAUGUACAUGAAGUAUAUUAAAAGACUUAAUUUUGCCACCAUGACUAAUUAAAGAAUUACUAAAGCCACAAGACUCCAUGCCAAUGGAUGGAACUUAUAACACCUAUACAAAGUAUAUACCAAGAGCAAAAGUAAGUUUUAUUAACACUUGCAAAAAAUUCUAUCAGUCAUUAUUUAAACUUAAUGGAAUACUGGUUAGAGACUUAAACAUAAAGGCAGACUUUGUGUUAGGAUUAGAUUUUAUGGUACGAAAUAAUGGAGGAUGUUUUGAUACUAGAGAUUGGAUAAUUUUUGAGAGUAAUAUUACUCAUUCACUAGUAUAGACAUGACCUAUACUAACUAAUUAUAGUUUUCUUAAGGAUAAAUCAGAAGAAGAAAGCUCAAAUAGUCAAAUAAAACCCGACAAAUCACUAGAAUGUGAUAAGGGAGAAAAUUGUACAUGUAGUAACAAUAAAAAGAUAACAAUGUAUGAACAAUUAAAAGAUUUAUUAACAGUAGAAGAAUUAGAAAAAGACUACACUAUAAUAGAAAUGGAUAUAAAAUUAUACAAUUUUCAGAGAGAAAUACAACUGAUAGGUGUAAUGCCCCGUAAUUUGGGCUAUAAUAUAGACCAUGAUUUCGAUGUGUUGUUAAUCCCAAAGCUAUAAAAUCCUAUCCUGAUACGGCAUGUUAAUUAUUGUGUGGCAUGUGAAUCUACUCAAGCUUGAGUUUAGACCAUAGAGGUCCUUCAACUCAAGGGCGAGUUGAAACUAUUUCGAUCGACUAAGUUUUAGUGGAUGUUGUAAAGUGUGUCAGCUUCCAUCAAUCAUAAAUCUCUGUAUAUGUCGAAUUAGGAAGCCUACUAUGUGUCAAAUGAUAGGUAUUAGAGUUAGCUUUCCAACGAUACCAAUUUGGCUAUAAUCCGACACCCGAGUAAGAAGUUAUGGCCCUUCAAAGUGAUAAGCGUCGCCUAACCAUCGCCCAUGGCCACCAGAAGGCAUAGGAAAUAGCCUACGUGGCGCCUAUGUAAACAUAGGUGAUAGCCUAGGCGGCGCCUAUGUGAACAUAGGCAAUGGGAUGGGCGGUGCCUAUGUAAAGAAUUCUAGUGACUUAAACACUCCGUGUUGAGGACAAAGUGGUCCUUUUCCACCCUUACUUAGCCCUAAAACACGAAAUCUAAUUCUAAGGACCCCAAAAUACAUAUUAUUUCAUCAAAACUGCUUAAGGAUUCUCCUUAGGGUUUUAAAAUAAAAAUCCAAAUAGUUUAAGAUUUGACCGUAGGUUUUCAAAGGUAAUUACUGAUAACGCUCAAUCUACAGCUCUCGUGGGAGUGUAAAGCGGUCGUUAGCAAAUAUAGAACCCAACCUGGGUUGGGUAUCGAUCCCACAGAGAAUAGCUUGGCCAACAAGCAAGAGAAAUUACUAGACUUUUAGUGCAAGUCUCGUAGGAAAGGGGGGAUUGUAGUAUGUAACCAAAACAAGAAGGUAAGAACUGAAAAUAGCAAAAUAAAGAGAGAUUGUCACGUGUGUUGUAAACAAUGAGAAUUGAGGCGUUGGGGUUAUGUCCACCUUCUGAGGUAUACGUCUCUAUUGGCUAUGAGUGUGUAGAGUCUUGACAUGUAAUUGCUUAUAGAGAAUUGUAGUCGAUGGUAAAUCCAAGCGUCUCUCGACCUAAACAAGGACUAUUUCACUUUAACUCUCUCGAGCUUAAAGCGUGACUAACGGUACGAAUUCUCCAAGAAGUUAGUCCAGGUACGGCACUAGCUUUUUAAUAGGAAAGGGUGUCCUACUACCUUGACAUUAUCUCUUUUCCAGACAAAUAACUUUUCUCUCGAACAAGUCAGAUGUUAGACUGGCGUUGGUCUAUGCGUCUUCUUUUCUAGACAAAUAACCUUUCUCUCGAACAGGUUAGAUGUUAGAAUGGCGUGUUCUUGUGUUUGAACCGCAAAGAAUGUAGAUUUAAGAUGAAGAGAAUAAUGAUAUAAGCAAUAUACUUGUCUUGAACUCACAAACUCAUAGCUAUAGAUAGUAACUCAUUCGGCUUCCAUAACCCCAACUAAGAGAUUUAGUUACCCAUGAAUGCGAAGGAUAUCACGUUUUGCAUGGUGGAUGGCGUGAAUAGUAGGUGUUUGGCGUGUGGUUUUAGUGAUUCCGUAGCAAGUAACAAUUCUCUUGUUGUGGAAUUUAAGAGUAGAAGAAUGAAGAAUUGAGAAUGGGUUGUAGGAAGAUGUCUUAAUUGUAAGGAGAUGAAUGAAUUGUCAGAAUGUCUCCCUUCUUGAAAAUCUCUAACAUGAUAGGGUAUUUAUAAUACUCCUAUCCUACUCCUACUAAACUAAUAAAAUAAAUAACCAAAUCCUAAUAUACUAAUGAAAUCCUUGACCCAAUUGUACUAGGGUAAGGUUACAAAAUUAUAAUCCAAAUAGAAUGAUGAAACACAUAACCUAAUUGCACUAGGUUAAUGUAUUAUGGCAAAAAUCCAGCUUUGUGUCUGUAAGUCCCAAAGUCUUCAGAAAUGCUGUUUUAGCCCGGGACAGAUUUUCCAUGCAGCAGAUUUAGUCCUUUAUGCGUCCAGCUCCUUUCCAUCUCGUUUGUGAGCUUUCUUUUGCGUCAAGUAAGCCAUAAAUUGCUGUAUUUUGCAUCAUUUAUACCUGAAACUUUCCUAAUCACAUUUGUUAGCUCAUUUACAGGAAAAAGGACUAAAAGUGUACGAAAUAGAUAAUUAGUUCUCGAAACUAGGCUAAAAUAUGGGCAAAAUAUAUUGAUAUAGGCGCGUAAUUUCGCCUAUCAUCAACACCCCACACUUAGAGCUUUGUUCGUCCUCGAACAACAUAUCAUGUCCUUCUAAGCAUUGACUUAAGGUUUUUACAGAAACAACACAAAACAUUCUUCAAGACAAGCACAACAAUUAUCAACGAAGAGUAGCUUUCCGAUUAUAAGUAGAAACAAUUUAACCUCAAGCAUAGACUCGUGAUGGUGAUCAACUCGCAUGCAAACGUUUAAGGUACAUAGAAUCAUAUACAACUAUCCAAAACUCAUCAACCAUGUGUGUCUCACAAUAUAGUACCCAUAAUCACUCACAAGUAUAGCAUAUUUUUCAAACAUGGGCAGCAAAGUAUCCUUGCGCUCACUCUCACAAAGAAUUCAUAUGUAGCAGCUAAUGACCAUAGGCUUGCCCUUAAUGUAGUACUCCACUAAAUGUCGGAAUGUUAAGGUUAGGAUCAAGUAGGUCUUUUGAUGGUUGUAAUGUAGGCUAAGGGACGGGUAGGAUCAACUAUUUUGGCCAGAAAUAGUGACUAAGUUCCUAAGCACUUUAAUACAUCACAUUGUAUUAUUGACACUUUUUUGUAGCACCCUUGUUCUCCUCUUUUGUUUUUCAAUUUUAAAGCACAACUCACUUUUCAGCUUUCUUUUCCUUUUUCUUCUCACAACAUACCUCUUAUGAUAGCACUUUCUUUUUCAUAACAUAUUCAAGCACCAUUACAAUUUAAAGCAUCAUACUCAACCAAUUUCCUCUUAUGUUGUCACAUGACUUUUUCACUUUAAAGCACUUAGGAAUUUGGAUCAAAUUACGGUCUUGAAAAAAAAAUGAAUUAGGCUUACAUACAAGGUUGUCAAAGAAAUAGGCUAAAGGCUCAAAAGGGUUUAACUAGGAUGAUGUCCAUGGGUAGGUAAAACUGAAGGUAAACAAAUAUAGGUUGCCAAAGAAAUGCCUAAAUCAUAUCCUAAACUUACACUCCUUAUUUUCGCUUUGCAUACAUACCAGGCAAGUUCUAGCAUCAGCCACAUACAUAGAAUAUACUAUUAUCUCACACACACAAGGCACAUGGUCGACUUGAUUGGUAGCAAUAUAGACUCUCAACCCAACAAGUGAAGGAAUUGAAUCACACACUAUCACAUAAUGAGUCACAACUAGAGCCUAAAUGUCUCAAUAGUCACAAUUGUAAUACAUACUAUUGUUAUAAUCUCAUGCUGCCUAUUAAAAUAAUUUCAUGCGAGGCUAGAAAAAUUUUAACUACUAAAAACUAAAAAAAAAACGUCACACGAAAAAAAUCACAAAAAAAAAUCGGACUCAAAACAAAAUAAAUAAAACAAAAUAAACAAGCAAACAUACAAAUAUAGCAUGCAGAUUCUGCCGACACCCCACACUUAGACUAGACACUGCCCUCAGUGGAAAAUAAAGUCGAAGAACCUGAUUAGUCGGACUCUUCCUCAAUGUCAUACCCCCUUCGUUCGAGUCAUCGUAAGAGUCAUCGUCAGAGUUCUCCUCAGCAUCAGAAUCAGGCAAGCGUCUAUCAUCAUCAGUUGGCACGUCAUCAUCAAGAGGUUCCUCGAAAUAUACUCCCACUCCACACAUCUCCCGGGCAUGUCUGUUCAUUGGGUAGUCGUGGUCCAGCUGUUGGAGCUCUUCAGCAGUUGGAAUACGUCCACCACUCAUCAUAGUGAAUCUCGUCAUGCCAUAGAGAUGACGGAAGAAACUCUCGUCACGAGCAUGUCUCUCCGCAGUGGUAAGGUUGACUCCAUGCGUUGUUUCAGCAUCUUUGACCUUGGUGAGGUCAACCUUCUUUGGGGUAUGUGGGAGUUUGUGGUCAGCUGGUUCCUCCUCUAUAUCCUCCUUCCGCAACAUUGCUGUCAACAAAUUGCCGAAUGUGAAAUAGGACCAUUCACAUUCACAUCAGUCUGGCUUUCCUCAUGGUGGAUCGAAUGAUUGCCCCAAAGUUGAUAGGGACAUUCGUCAUUAAUGAAUAAACCAGGCACACUCUAUCUCUCGAUAUCUUUGUGUAUUGCGUCCCAGGAAUGAGGCAUGAGUUGACAAUGCGCAUCCAGAUUCUUGCUUCCCUAUUUAGUGGAGCAUAGGGGAAUGUGUUGUGACGGCCUGUUUCCUUAUGUCUGCCCCAUCUCGCCAUCGAUCUGCUUCCACAAAGCGUGUGUCUUAUAGCUCUGUAAGGAGGUCUGCUGUACAGCUCUUUGUAUGGUGCAGUGUCGACCGAAGGUAGGCCUAGAAACGAGUUGAUCCAAUCCGCUGUAAGCUGUAACACUUGGCCCCGAAUUUUGACUUCGUUGCCUGUUGUGUUUGGCGACCAGUUGGCAUAAAACUCUCUUGUCAAGUCAAGAUUGCACUCUCCCAUGUCACGGAAGAUGAAAUCCAGCUUCAAAGCCAUAAUCUUAGCCAACAUUUGCGGCUCCUUCUUUGCUAAGGUCUCCUUAUUGAUUAAGUCGACGUGCACAUAUUUCUUUUCUUUGUUGCUGCUGUACCAUGCCUUGGCUUCUUCCUCAAGAACCCAUUUGAUUCCGAACAUUCUGCGUGGUAGGUGUGCGGAAGAUGAUUCGCCUUGGUCUUUUCGGCUUCUCUUUUUGUCCUUGCGGGUUGUGGUAGCCUUCUCCUUGCCUUGCCUUGCUUUCGGUGCCAUUGUACCGCCUUUACCAUACAACGCGACCAAAUCGUCAAUUGAAAUCAAUCUCCUCGUUGCAUACUUCUUACACCUAUAUUUGCUCAAACAAAUGAAAACGAUUAGUACGAUGGGUUGCCUCCCACCAAGCGCCUUAGUUUUGGUCGUGGCACGACUCUUAUUUUUGGAUUUUCAUUUAUCAAAAAGAAAAAAUACUAAAACGACAAAACGAUAAAACAAUAAAACGAAGGGUUGCCUCCCAUCUAGCGCCUUAUUUAUUGUCGUGGCUCGACGUAGUAAUCUCGAGUACUUAGACUUCGUCGAGAUAAGUGAUGGCCAUGUCAUUUAUCGAGUCAAGAGGACCGAUAUAUGGCUUAACACGUUGGCCAUUCACCUUGAAGAUAACACCCUCAUUAUUUUCCAAUUCGACUACUCCAAACGAGUAGACGUGGGUGACUUUAAAUGGACCAGACCACUUUGAUUUUAACUUACCUGGGAAGAGCUUGAAUCUGGAGUUAAAGAGUAGCACCAUGUCACCUUUUUGGAAGUGUCGUCGAACAAUCCGCUGAUCGUGAUACUUCUUCAUCCGCUCCUUGUAUAAAUCUGAUCUUUCAUAAGCAUGGAGACGGAAUUCAUCUAGCUCGUUCAGCUGCUCCAACCUCAGGUUCUUCACAUCAUCCCAAUUCAGAUUCAAGUGCUUCAAUGCCCAUAAUGCCUUGUAUUCAAGCUCGAUGGGUAGAUGACAAGCCUUCCCAUAAACUAGCUGAUAAGGUGACAUGCCAAUGGGUGUCUUGAAUGCAGUCCUAUACGCCCAUAGUGCAUCAUCUAGCUUCCGAGACCAAUCCUUCCGAUUCGCAUUGACCGUCUUGGCAAGGAUUUGCUUGAUCUCCCGAUUGGAAACCUCUACUUGUCCACUAGUUUGGGGAUGAUAAGGCGUAGCUACCUUGUGUUGCUUGACUCCAUACUUGGCCAAUACAGAUUUGAAUAGCUUGUUGCAGAAGUGAGAUCCUCCAUCACUUAUGAUAGUACGAGGUACCCCAAAGCGAGAGAAGAUAUUCUUCUUUAAAAACGCUACAACACGCUUUCCUUCAUUAUCGGCCAAUGCUACAGCUUCAACCCAUUUCGACACAUAAUCCACAGCAACCAAGAUGUACUUCAUUCCAAACGAAUUUACGAAUGGUCCCAUGAAAUCAAUACCCCAUACAUCAAAGAGUUCUACCUCCAGGAUUGUGGACAUGGGCAUUUCAUGGUGUUUUGAAAUAACACCUUGACGUUGGCAUUGGUCACACCUUCUCACAUAGUCGUGUGCAUCUCUGAAUAUUGUAGGCCAAUAAUAACCACUUUGCAAGACUUUUCUUGCUGUUCGAUUACCCGCAUGAUGUCCUCCAACUUGCGAAGUGUGGCAUGCUUCUAAUAUAGUGGGCACUUCGUCAUGGGAUAUACAUCGUCGAAUGAUACCAUCCGCACAUCUUCGAAACAAAUAAGGCUCAUCCCAAUAAUAGUGCUGAACGUCAUGCAUAAACUUCCUCCUCUGGUGGUAAGAUAAAUUUGUAGGUAACACAUUACUCACCACGAAAUUCGCAAAGUCGGCAUACCAUGGUAAGUCUUCUAUUGUUGUCGCUAAUAUCUCCUCGUCAGGGAAUGCAUCGCCAAUCUGAUUUUCUGAUUGCGCCACAUACUCAUUCUCAAGUCUAGAUAGGUGAUCAGCCACUUGGUUCUCGCAACCUCUUCUAUCUUUGACUUCGAAAUCAAACUCUUGCAGCAGCAACACCCAUCGAAUCAGCCUUGGUUUUGCAUCCUUCUUUGUCAUUAGAUACCUAAGAGCUGCAUGGUCUGUAUGAACGAUCACUUUAGUACCUAAUAGGUAGGCGCGGAACUUCUCAAACGCAUACACAACCGCUAAUAGCUCUUGUUCAGUGACGGUGUAGUUCCUUUGGGCUUCAUUGAGGACCUUACUCGCAUAGUAGAUAGGAUGAAAUAAUUUCUCCUUUCUCUGUCCAAGAACAGCACCAACGGCUACACCACUAGCAUCACACAUGACUUCGAACGGGAGCGUCCAAUCUGGUGUUACCAUGAUAGGGGCUUCAACGAGUUUUUCUUUAAGGCAUUCAAAUGCCUUUAAGCAAUCAUCAUUAAAGUCAAACUUCGCAUCUUUCUCCAAUAGCUUGCAUAAUGGACUAGAAAUUUUGGAGAAGUCUUUGAUGAAUCUACGAUAAAACCCAGCAUGGCCAAGAAAACUACGAACUCCCUUCACCGAAAUUGGAGGUGGUAGCUUCUCAAUUACCUCUAUUUUGGCGCGAUCAACCUCUAUUCCUUUUUCGGAGAUCUUGUGCCCAAGAACAAUUCCUUCUUUUACCAUGAAGUGGCACUUCUCCCAAUUCAGCACAAGGUUGAACUCUACACAUCUUUGUAAUGCCAUGCUUAAAUUCACCAAACAUGCUUCGAAAGACUCCCCAACAACUGAAAAGUCGUCCAUAAAUACCUCCAAAGUGUCUUCUACCAUAUCAGAGAAAAUAGACAUCAUACAUCGCUGAAAGGUGGCUGGUGCAUUACAUAACCCGAAUGGCAUACGUUUGAAGGCAAACGUACCAUAUGGGCAUGUAAACGUUGUCUUCUCUUGGUCUUCUGGUGCAAUAAAAAUCUGAUUAUAACCUGAAUAACCAUCAAGAAAGCAAAACCAUCCUUUUCCCGCUAAUCGAUCUAGCAUUUGGUCCAUAAAUGGCAUGGGGAAGUGAUCCUUGAGAGUCCAAGAAUUCAGCUUGCGGUAGUCCAUGCAUACUCUCCAUCCAGUGACGGGCCUGAGUGGAAUAAGCUCAUUCUUUGCAUUCGCAACCACCGUCAUACCUCCUUUCUUGGGAACACAUUGUACUGGGCUUACCCAUGUACUAUCAGAAAUAGGAUACACAACUCCUGCGUCUAACCACUUGAUAAUCUCCUUCUUCACCACCUCUUGCAUUGGUGGGUUUAGACGUCUUUGGUGUUCGAUGGUGGGUGUGCACUUUUCUUGGAGCUGAAUUUUAUGAGUGCAAAUUCCAGGUGGAAUACCAAGGAUAUCCGCAAUGGUCCAUCCAAUAGCUCUAAUAUACUUGCGUAAAAUUGCAAUAAGAGCUGCAACUUGUUGCUCACCUAAAUCGGCUGCCACUAUGACUGGAAGAGUGUUUCCGCUUCCUAAGAAUGCAUACUUCAAAUGGCUUGGCAGCUCCUUUAAUUCUAAUGUGGGUGGUUCUUCAAUAGAUGGCUUAGCUGGUGGUGUGGGUCGAUUCUUGAGAUCAAGAUCCAGCUUCUUAGGAGGAUAGCGAUAUGCUCCUAAUCCCGAUAGAGCACAAAUAUCAUCUUCAGAAAUUUCAGCAUCAUCAUCAUCUUCUUCCAUGAGCAAAACCUCCAAAGGAUCAUCAAGAAUUUGUUCUUCAGCAAGUAACUCAUCCUCGUCAUCAACGACAACAUCAGUCACAGAAAAUACACUUAGAUCUUUGGGUUGCUUCAUUGAUUUGCAAACAUCAAAGCGCACCACUUCAUCAUUUAUUCGGAAUGAAAGUUCAUUAGCUCUCAAAUCUAUGAGCACACUUCCCGUAGCAAGGAAAGGGCGUCCCAAGAUUAUGGGAACCUCUGAAUCUGCUUCGCAAUCCAAGAUGACAAAGUCUGCUGGAAAUAUGAAUGAAGAUACCUUCACCAAGACAUCGCAUAGAAUACCAACCGGUCGUUUUACCGACCUAUCCGCCAUAACAAGCUUCAUAUUAGUUGGUGUAGGAUCUCCCAACCCCAACUUCUUGUAGAUUGAUAAUGGCAUCAAGUUGAUGCUGGCUCCUAAGUCACAUAAUGCUUUAGCAAAGUCCAAAGAUCCGACGGUGCAAGGAAUAGUGAAAGCUCCGGGGUCGGCCUUCUUCUGAACUAUGGAUCGGGUAGCUAUUGCACUACAAUGAUGCACAUCUUCUUUCAGCUCAUAGCUUGCUGCCCUCUUCUUAGUCAAAAGAUCUUUCAUAAACUUCGCAUACCCAGGCAUUUGUUCAAGUGCCUCUACCAAUGGGACAUUAAUAGUCAGCUGCUUCAAGAUGGUCAUGAACUUGCUGAACUUAGUGUCAUCGGCCGCCUUCUUCAGUCUUUGUGGAAAAGGUGGUGGUGGGUAUGGAAGUGUUCUUUCCAUGGCUUUCUUCUCCUCUUGCUUCCGUUUAUUACUUUUUUCAGGCUGCACGUCACUAGGCAACACGUCCUUGACGUUGGAAGUGGAUAUUGCGGCGUCUUCCCUAGUGGCGUCACUAGGUGUGGCGGUUGUGUCUGCUGUUCUGUCAACUAUUUGCUUGCCUUCUGCUGAAGUUUCCAGCACCUUACCACUCCUCGUAGUGAUGGCCAUGCAUGACCCAUCAGUCCUUGGAUUUUGCACCGUAUCGCUAGGCAAGGUGCCGGCUUUUCUUUGGUUGAGUGUUGCUGAAAGUUGACUGAAUUGCUGCUCUAGUUGCUUGAUAGAAGUGGAAUGAGAAUCAACUAAUUGCUUCAUGGAGGCCAAAUCGUCAAUCACCUCCUUAACUCCCGCAUUCGUCGCUUCCACUCCUUUCAAUAACUUAGCCAUCAUGUCUUCCAUAGAAUUAGAUGUGGUGGUAUCACGUCUACCAGGGGGAACGUACAAACCACUGUUUUCAUUAUUUUUCUUCCAACUACCUUGGUCUUUACCUCCAGAUUUGUCAUAAUAGUUCCGACCUUGGUUUCCUUGGGCAUUCCCACGGAAACCCCCCUGAUUGUUCAAGUAGUUGGCCUCCUCUUCUGAAUCAGAUUCGUCUCUUCCUUUUGACGCAAUAGAUUUCACUUUUUCAGUCUUCCCUAAUAGAUGCUUUGUAAGAAGAUCCAUUUGGGUUUUCAUGUGCGCCAUAUCUUGAUCACGUUCUUCUUCUCUCCUUCUUUGAUCUGCAGACAUGCCAAUAGAUAAAGUGGGGCUUGCUACCUCAGAAUCCCUGGUAUGCCAAGCUCUACUUUGUUUCGUCAUACGAUCUAGCAUGUUGCUUGCUUGACCAAAGGUGAGGUCCAUAAAAGAACCUCCAGCUGCGUUGUCCACCACUGGUUUAGUUACUGAAUUCAAGGCUCUAUAUAAGAUCUCCAUGAGGUGAACAUUAGUCAUGUGAUGGUUUGGGCAUCUCGCUAGCUUUGUCUUGAACCUCUCCCAUGUUUCGUGAAGAGCUUCAGAGGGAAGCUGACGAAAGUUGCUGAUUUCAUCUCUCAAUUGAGCCCUCUUGGAUGGCGGAAAGAAUCUUUCUAGGAAAGCGUCUCUCAAUUGCCUCCAAUUUGUAAUAGAAUCAGGAGUCAGCCCAUUCAACCAUAAUGUUGCCUCCCCAGACAGAGACAAUGGAAAUAGACGUAAUCGAAUAGCAUUCUGACCAACUCCAGGAUUGUCAAAAGACUUGCAUGUAGAAAUAAAGUUGAUGAGAUGCAUAUUCGGAUCAUCGCCUGCUAGUCCACCAAAUAAUCCCUUGAGUUGCAAUAACUGAAUCAUGGUGCUAGUGAUGUUGAACUUGGCUCCGGGCGCUAAUGGUGGUGGAAUUAUAGCUCCAGUGGCUCCGGCACCAUCAAGAUCAUCAUCAUCAUCGUCGAAAGCUGGUUGCAAAGGUUGGCGAUCAUAUCUGUACCGAGCUUGUCGACCUCGUCUGUUGGUAGGUGUUGCCAUUUCAGCGCCAUGCCUUGGGUUGAUCAACUCGUCAUCUCCUAAAUCUUCAUCGUCAGGAUUUGUUGCUCGUCCAGGAUUAUCAAUGUUUUGUUGUUGGACUUGAGCAGCGGCAAGAGCAGCUAAUCUUGCUUGCUCAUGUUGAGCAGCCAUCCUGUCGAUUUCCGCUUGUGCUUCCAUUCUUCUGAUUCGUUGUGGUUCCGGAUUGAUUGGUAAUAACGGUUGACCAGAACUUCUAGUAUGGGGCAUGCACUAAAAGAAAAACCUGCAAUAAACAAAAACAAAAACUAAACGUAAAAGUACGAGAAUCUUUGACCAAAGGGUCUAGUAAUUUUCACGAACUUGAUUGACACUCGUAUUCCCCGGCAACGGCGCCAAUUUUUGAUAACGCUCAAUCUACAGCUCUCGUGGGAGUGUAAAGCGGUCGUUAGCAAAUAUAGAACCCAACCUGGGUUGGGUAUCGAUCCCACAGAGAAUAGCUUGGCCAACAAGCAAGAAAAAUUACUAGACUUUUAGUGCAAGUCUCGUAGGAAAGGGGGGAUUGUAGUAUGUAACCAAAACAAGAAUGUAAGAACUGAAAAUAGCAAAAUAAAGAGAGAUUGUCACGUGUGUUGUAAACAAUGAGAAUUGAGGCGUUGGGGUUAUGUCCACCUUCUGAGGUAUACGUCUCUAUUGGCUAUGAGUGUGUAGAGUCUUGACAUGUAAUUGCUUAUAGAGAAUUGUAGUCGAUGGUAAAUCCAAGCGUCUCUCGACCUAAACAAGGACUAUUUCACUUUAACUCUCUCGAGCUUAAAGCGUGACUAACGGUACGAAUUCUCCAAGAAGUUAGUCCAGGUACGGCACUAGCUUUUUAAUAGGAAAGGGUGUCCUACUACCUUGACAUUAUCUCUUUUCCAGACAAAUAACUUUUCUCUCGAACAAGUCAGAUGUUAGACUGGCGUUGGUCUAUGCGUCUUCUUUUCUAGACAAAUAACCUUUCUCUCGAACAGGUUAGAUGUUAGAAUGGCGUGUUCUUGUGUUUGAACCGCAAAGAAUGUAGAUUUAAGAUGAAGAGAAUAAUGAUAUAAGCAAUAUACUUGUCUUGAACUCACAAACUCAUAGCUAUAGAUAGUAACUCAUUCGGCUUCCAUAACCCCAACUAAGAGAUUUAGUUACCCAUGAAUGCGAAGGAUAUCACGUUUUGCAUGGUGGAUGGCGUGAAUAGUAGGUGUUUGGCGUGUGGUUUUAGUGAUUCCGUAGCAAGUAACAAUUCUCUUGUUGUGGAAUUUAAGAGUAGAAGAAUGAAGAAUUGAGAAUGGGUUGUAGGAAGAUGUCUUAAUUGUAAGGAGAUGAAUGAAUUGUCAGAAUGUCUCCCUUCUUGAAAAUCUCUAACAUGAUAGGGUAUUUAUAAUACUCCUAUCCUACUCCUACUAAACUAAUAAAAUAAAUAACCAAAUCCUAAUAUACUAAUGAAAUCCUUGACCCAAUUGUACUAGGGUAAGGUUACAAAAUUAUAAUCCAAAUAGAAUGAUGAAACACAUAACCUAAUUGCACUAGGUUAAUGUAUUAUGGCAAAAAUCCAGCUUUGUGUCUGUAAGUCCCAAAGUCUUCAGAAAUGCUGUUUUAGCCCGGGACAGAUUUUCCAUGCAGCAGAUUUAGUCCUUUAUGCGUCCAGCUCCUUUCCAUCUCGUUUGUGAGCUUUCUUUUGCGUCAAGUAAGCCAUAAAUUGCUGUAUUUUGCAUCAUUUAUACCUGAAACUUUCCUAAUCACAUUUGUUAGCUCAUUUACAGGAAAAAGGACUAAAAGUGUACGAAAUAGAUAAUUAGUUCUCGAAACUAGGCUAAAAUAUGGGCAAAAUAUAUUGAUAUAGGCGCGUAAUUUCGCCUAUCAUCAACACCCCACACUUAGAGCUUUGUUCGUCCUCGAACAACAUAUCAUGUCCUUCUAAGCAUUGACUUAAGGUUUUUACAGAAACAACACAAAACAUUCUUCAAGGUAUUUUUUAUGAACAUGCAUGCUUUAAAAUGGGGGUUUUCAAUCAAAUGCUAAUAUCUUGCUUUCAAUAUAAUUUCUAAGUCAUUUUCUUUAUGUUGUGGGAAUUGUUUGCCUAUAUACUUAAAUUAUUGAAACCAUGCAUAUGUGAUUUGAGAUUUUCCAUGGAAGUUUGAUAAAUAUGAAUGAUAAAUUGUUUUCAAAUUCCCGUGAUAAUGUUUCUAUACUCUAUAUUGUAUUGUGAACAACAAAAGAGAGCAUGAAUUUGAAAUAAAUAUUGUUCACCACUUGUAAAUGAUGAAGCACCUUGGUUUUUACAUGAUUAUGCAUAUGUGGAUGUGAUAUUGAUGACUUGCAAGUCGGGUAUGAAGAUACCCUUCAGAAUACGAUAUCAGAUUGAAUAAGAUGAAAUUUAAAUACAUUGAUUUUACAUGAGAAAGGUGGAUGCCUAAAGAAGGCAUUUGAGACACAAGGGCUCAUCAUUGGAAAACGUGUUUACCGACAUGGAAUAUUGGUACCAGGUUAAGUGAUCUUGUGUACUUGACUUCAUGUCAUUCCCAAAUUGGGACUAUAGGUAGGAGCCCAGGCUAAGUGAUCUCGGGCACUACCAUUAGGUCGAUACACCAUGCUAUGUGAUCUUGUGUGUCUCUCCCUCACUUAUACUCUAAUCUCGGCGGCAACCGAGGUUUGACAGUUGGAGUAAAUCAUGUAGGGUGUUUCACCUAGCUCAGUUGCAUUUCAUUAUUGUUGAGAAAAACUAUUGUAUUACACCCAUGUGCUUUCAAAUGAUUUGAUACGAAAUUGCUUUAUAAUGGCUCUUAACUAUGUAUUGUAAAAAUAUUAUAUUUUAUUUUGAUAUAUCUGUGUGCCAGUACUUUUGUGUUGACCCCCUUCCCUCUCUAACCACUCAGGUUCAGAGGCCCAAUUCAG
rnacentral:lncRNA from 1 species